UACGGAGGGUGCGAGCGUUGUCCGGAAUCAUUGGGCGUAAAGGGCGCGUAGGUGGCGGGACAAGCGUGCGGUGAAAGCCUGGGGCUCAACCCCGGGUCGGCCGUGCGAACUGUUUUGCUUGAGCACUGUAGAGGCAGGCGGAAUUCCGGGUGUAGCGGUGGAAUGCGUAGAGAUCCGGAGGAACACCAGGGGCGAAGGCGGCCGACUGGCCGAGUGCUGACGCUGAGGCGCGACGGCGUGGGGAGCAAACCGG
rnacentral:rRNA from 1 species